rnacentral:rRNA from 1 species
CAGCCGCCGCGGGAAAACGGAGGGUGCAAGCGUUAUCCGGAUUUAUUGGGUUUAAAGGGUCCGUAGGCGGAUCUGUAAGUCAGUGGUGAAAUCUCACAGCUUAACUGUGAAACUGCCAUUGAUACUGCAGGUCUUGAGUAAAUUUGAAGUGGCUGGAAUAAGUAGUGUAGCGGUGAAAUGCAUAGAUAUUACUUAGAACACCAAUUGCGAAGGCAGGUCACUAAGAUUUAACUGACGCUGAUGGACGAAAGCGUGGGGAGCGAACAGGAUUAGAUACCCGAGUAGUCCCUGUCUCUUAUAC